UACGUAGGGGGCAAGCGUUAUCCGGAUUUAUUGGGUUUAAAGGGUGCGUAGGCGGUCCGUUAAGUCAGCGGUAAAAUUGCGGGGCUCAACCCCGUACUGCCGUUGAAACUGCAUCCCUUGAGUGCGCGAGAAGUAUGCGGAAUGCGUGGUGUAGCGGUGAAAUGCAUAGAUAUCACGCAGAACCCCGAUUGCGAAGGCAGCAUACCGGCGCCCUACUGACGCUGAGGCACGAAAGUGCGGGUAUCGAACAGG
rnacentral:rRNA from 1 species